rnacentral:rRNA from 1 species
GACGAACGCUGGCGGCGUGCCUAAUACAUGCAAGUCGAACGCUUCUUACUUAUCGAACUUCGGUUCACCAAGUAAGAAGAGUGGCGAACGGGUGAGUAACACGUGGGUAACCUGCCCAUCAGAGGGGGAUAACACUUGGAAACAGGUGCUAAUACCGCAUAAUUCUUUUUGUCGCAUGAUAGAAAGAUGAAAGGCGCUUUUGCGUCACUGAUGGAUGGACCCGCGGUGCAUUAGCUAGUUGGUAGGGUAAUGGCUUACCAAGGCAAAGAUGAAUAGCCGACCUGAGAGGGUGAUCGGCCACACUGGGACUGAGACACGGCCCAGACUCCUACGGGAGGCAGCAGUAGGGAAUCUUCGGCAAUGGACGAAAGUCUGACCGAGCAACGCCGCGUGAGUGAAGAAGGUUUUCGGAUCGUAAAACUCUGUUGUUAGAGAAGAACAAGGAUGAGAGUAAAAUGUUCAUCCCUUGACGGUAUCUAACCAGAAAGCCACGGCUAACUACGUGCCAGCCGCCGCCGUAA